UACGUAGGGGGCUAGCGUUGUCCGGAAUCAUUGGGCGUAAAGCGUGCGUAGACGGUUAUGUAAGUCGGGUGUGAAAGCCCCGGGCUCAACCUGGGAAUUGCAUUCGAGACUGUGUAGCUAGGGUACGGAAGAGGAAAGCGGAAUUCCACGUGUAGCGGUGAAAUGCGUAGAGAUGUGGAGGAACACCAGUGGCGAAGGCGGCUUUCUGGUCUGUAACUGACGCUGAGGCGCGAAAGCGUGGGGAGCAAACAGG
rnacentral:rRNA from 1 species